UACGUAGGGGGCAAGCGUUGUCCGGAUUUAUUGGGCGUAAAGAGCGUGUAGGCGGCUAGGUAGGUGGGUUGUGAAAACUGGAGGCUCAACCUUCAGAGGUCGACCCAAACCCCCUGGCUAGAGUCCGGAAGAGGAGAGUGGAAUUCCUGGUGUAGCGGUGAAAUGCGCAGAUAUCAGGAAGAACACCCGUGGCGAAGGCGGCUCUCUGGGACGGUACUGACGCUGAGACGCGAAAGCGUGGGGAGCGAACAGG
rnacentral:rRNA from 1 species